rnacentral:rRNA from 1 species
GACGAACGCUGGCGGCGUGCCUAAUACAUGCAAGUAGAACGCUGAAGCUUGGUGCUUGCACCGAGCGGAUGAGUUGCGAACGGGUGAGUAACGCGUAGGUAACCUGCCUGGUAGCGGGGGAUAACUAUUGGAAACGAUAGCUAAUACCGCAUAAGAGUAGAUGUUGCAUGACAUUUGCUUAAAAGGUGCAAUUGCAUCACUACCAGAUGGACCUGCGUUGUAUUAGCUAGUUGGUGAGGUAACGGCUCACCAAGGCAACGAUACAUAGCCGACCUGAGAGGGUGAUCGGCCACACUGGGACUGAGACACGGCCCAGACUCCUACGGGAGGCAGCAGUAGGGAAUCUUCGGCAAUGGACGGAAGGCUGACCGAGCAACGCCGCGUGAGUGAAGAAGGUUUUCGGAUCGUAAAGCUCUGUUGUAAGAGAAGAACGAGUGUGAGAGUGGAAAGUUCACACUGUGACGGUAUCUUACCAGAAAGGGACGGCUAACUACGUG